rnacentral:misc_RNA from 1 species
AAGGAUCAUUACCGAACCGUCGACACGAGUUGUUGCUGGUCCCCCCAAAAGGGGGCAUGUGCACACUCUGUUUACACAUCCACUCACACCUGUGCACCCUCUGUAGUUCUAUGGCCUUGGGGACUCUGUCCCCUUGCCGUGGUCCUACGUCUUUACACACACACCCCCCGUAGUAAAGUCUCAUGGAAUGCAUGUCGCGUUUAACGCAAUACAAUACAACUUUCAGCAACGGAUCUCUUGGCUCUC